AUAUUCGAACUGCAGAAAAUCAAAGACAAAAUCUUGAAAGGAGCCAGAGAAAAAUAACACCUGCCUAUAGGGGAACAAGGAUAAGGAUUACAUUGGCCUUCUCUUCAGAAAACAUGCAAGCAAGAAGAGAGUGAAGUGAAAUAUGUAAGAAAGAAAAAAAGGGGAGAUAAACCCACCAGCCUAGAAUUCUGUUUCUAGCAAAAUUAUCCAUCAGAAGUGAAGAAGAAAUAGAUUUUCUCAGACAAAGAAGACUUGAGAAAAUUUAUCACCAGUAGAUCUGCCUUGCAAGAAAAUUAAAGAGGUUCUUUAAAGAGAGAGAAAAUGAUCUAGGGGCUAUAUGAAAAAAACUUGGGGCUAUAGGAAGAAAGGAGGAGCAUAGAAAGAAAAUAGAUAGUCUCAGAGACCUAUAGGAUUAUAACAAAAGAUCUAACACUCCUGUCAUGGAGAGAGAGGAGAGGGGAGAUGGGCUUAAAAAGUACUUGAAGAAAUAAUGGCUGAAAACUAUUCAAAUUUAGCAAAAGACAUAAAUCUCCAGAUUAAAGAAAGUGAGCGCCAAACAGGAUAAAGCCAAAGAAAUCCAUAUCAGGGCACAUAAUAAUCAAACUUCUGAAAGUUAAAGACAAACAUAGAAUUGAGAAAGAGAUGACAAUCUCUUAUGUAUAAGAGAAAAACAGGAUCUCUCAUCAGAUACUACAAAGGCCAGAAAGAAGUGGCACAUUUUUCAAGAGCUGAAAGAAAAGAACUGUCAAACCAAAAUUCAAUAUCCAGCAAAAGUAUACUUCAGAAAUGGAGGGGAGAUCAAGACAUUCUCAGAUGAAGGAACACUUAGAGAAUCUGUCACCAACAUAACUACUCUAAAAGAAUGGCUAAAGGAAGUUCUUAAAAUGUAAAGGAAAUGAUAAAAUAAGGAAUCUUGGACUAUCAGAAAGGAAGAAAAAACAACUGAAAGAAGGAAAAUGUGGGUAAAUGCCAUAGACUUUAAUGCUUC
rnacentral:lncRNA from 1 species